CGGGGCGUAGCGCAGUGGAAGCGCGUCCGGUUCGGGACCGGAAGGUCGGCCGUUCAAAUCGGCUCGCCCCGA
rnacentral:tRNA from 1 species